CGAUAAUAUAGUAUUAAUGUUUAUUAAGAAGGAUUUUACAAAAUAAAAAGCACUAAUAAAUAUAAAUCUAUUGGUUUUCUACUUCAUUAAUAUAUAUCAAUCCUUCAAUCAAUAACCUUUUGAAAAACAAACACACCUGUGACUUGCUGCAUAUCACCAGAAAAAUCUGCUUUCAAUGCUCACACUAUUCUAAUAUGCCCAGCAUACCAAAGCUCUGGAAUGCAGCCACACCCUGUUAGACGUUCUCAUUGCGAGGAGAAAAACAAUAUAUAGGUAAGUGUUAGGAAAUAGAGAUGACGUCUCCACCUUAUGGCCACUCCCUUGUUCACCACCUCUCUCUUUCCAAAGUUGUCAGGACUUAGCUCUGUCCUUUCUGAAAACGCCUUGGCAGGAGUAUUGCAGUUACCAGCAACUGUUACCUUCUGGCGUGCAGAGAUAAUCCUGCAGUCAAUGCCAAGGCCUUCUCCACUGCGCACGUUUUGCAAAAGCUCUGAAUAAACUGAUGGUGUGUCUUAGACAUCAACUUAAAAACCAACAAAAACAACUAUAAAGACAUACAUAUUUCAUUGUCUGAAUAGAUAUCAAGAUUACAUACAUAUAUUAGACAUACAUACAAUGUGAAGAUAAUUACAUUGCAUGAAUUAAAUUAGGGCAGUGUAAAGAAGACGGACAACUAAAGGAGAGGGGAGGAGACCUUUAUAAGCUCAAAUCAGAUCAACUCUGGGUCUCAGCUCCCCAAUUAUGAAAUUGCAUCUACAGCCUUUAUCCAGUUAUCUCAAAUACAAUAUUUUUAUCGUUUCACACAAAAAUUAGACACAAUUUUGCAUCCCAUUUUACACUGAAAUUUAACCCGCUCUUUGAUUUGUGGCCAUAGUUCAACCUUAGAUGUUUUACAAUUUGUGUCAAUUGAGCCUUUAAAAUGUGGAUCAAAAGCCAUUUUUUGAUUUUCAAUAAGGGUGGCAAUUUCAGAUGUAAUAUAACCAUUUCUUCCGUCUACACGUUUCAGGCCUAAAAGUUUGUUUUCAAACACCACAAGUGUUUCCCAACCAGAUUUAAUCAGGGGGUAUUCCCACCAUAUGUGUAAUUUGUCGGCUGUGUCCGAACCACAUCUCCAACAAAGACAUUUAUCAUGGGGGUACAUCUUAUUUUUUUUAAAUUCUUUAUUUAUUGGCAAAUGGCACGACUGCACAUACAUAGAUACAUGUUGCCAGUUUUUUAUAAUGAAUAUAGAGUUACAAGCCUUGCAUGCGAUAUCAUUAGAUAUGUAAGUAAGCCUUCUUCAUAUACAGAUAGAGAAUACAGUUACAGUGAACUGCUCAAGAAUAAGUAAGGAAAUAUAUAUUUGCAUAUUAUUUAAUUUUAGGGGUGUUAAAAAAUCUUUUAAGUCUCCUUUUUAUUAAGGCAUUGAACUGGUGAAUACACCGUUCGUUUAUAAUGCAGCCUACCUGUAAUAUACCUCUGUAAUAUUGAUUUUUUUUUUUUUUUAAUUUCUAGUCCACCUGUCUUUUGCCUUGGGGAUAAUAUUCCCAUUAGUGGCUUGCAUUAUAGCAAUGCAUUUUAAAUCCUUUCCUAAUUCAAUAAUGUUAUUUAUUUUAUCCACUAUGUCACUUGAGGUUUUUUUUAUAUAUAUUGAGGUCUUUAAAAACGUUACUAAUUCUAAUAUAAUAAAAUAUCAGACCAGAUUGAUUCCAAAGCAUGAGAUUUUUGUGAUACCCUGCAGUAUACAGUGACAAAUCCAAAUUCUCGCACAUAUUCAUAGGGUAUGUAAGUGGAAGAGAUGGUAAGAUUUUGGUAUUUCAAUUCAUAUAUCUUUUAAAACUAUUCCAGAAAGUCCUACAUGCAUUAAUGAGGAAUCUAUGUAGUAUAGGUUAAUACUUAUACCCAACCCAAUUCCUCCCUGUUUCUUAUUAAAGGGACCCUAUAGUGCCAGUAAAAUAAUAGAUCAGGGUGGUGCAGUAGACAUUGCUUACCUAGAUUUCAGUAAGGCUUUUGACACUGUUGCACACACAAGGCUUAUCAACAAACUGCAAUCUUUAAGUUUGGAUUCCAAUUUUGUUGAAUGGGUAAGGCAGUGGCUGAGUGACAGGCAACAGAGGGUUGUAGUUAAUGGAAUAUAUUCGAAGCUUGGACUUACUGCUGAUGAUACUAAGAUUUGUAACACGGUUGAUGUUCCAGAAGGGAUAAGCUAAAUGGCAAAUGAUUUAGGUAAACUAGAAAAAUGGAGUUGUGGCAACAGACAUUUAAUGUGGAUAAGUGCAAAAUAAUGCAUCUUGGACAUUAAAACCCAAGGGCAAAGUACAGAAUAUUUGAAAGAGUCCUAACCUCAACAUCCGAGGAAAGGGUUUUAGGGGUAAUUAUUUUUGAGGACGUAAAGGUAGGCAGACAACGUAAUAGAGCAACAGGAAAUGCUAGCGGAAUGCUUGGUUGUAUAGGGAGAGGUAUUAGCAGUAGAAAGAGGGAAGUGCAUGUCAUUGUACAGAACACUGGUGAGACCUCACUUGGAGUAUUGUACACAGUACUGGAGACCGUAUCUUCAGAAGGAAAUUGAUACUUCAGAGAGAGUUCAGAGAAGGGCUACUAAACGGGUUCAUGGAUUGCAGGAUAAAACUUUCAAGUAAAGGUUCAAGAAUCUUAACAUGUAUAGCUUGGAGGAAAGACGAGAAAGGGGGCAUAUGAUAGAAACAUUUAAAUACAUAAAGGGAAUCAACACAGUAAAGGAGGAGACUAUAUUUAAAAGAAGAAAAACUACCACAACAAGAGGACAAUGUCUUAAAUUAGAGGGGCAAAGGUUUAAAAAUAUCAGGGUAGUGGAUGCAUGCAAUAGCCUUCCAGCUGAAGUGGGAGAGAUUAACACAGUAAGGGAGUUUAAGCAUGCGUGGGAUAGGCAUAAGGCUAUCCUAACUAAGAUAAGGCCAGGGACUAAUGAAAGUAUUCAGAAAACUGGGCAGACUAGAUGGGCCGAAUGGUUCUUAUCUGCCGUCACAUUCUAUGAAAACAAAGCCGUUUUUCUAGCAAUACAGGUUUAAUAGAUCCCCCACCCCCUUGAAGCUGAAGGGGUUACGAACCCUUCAGUCACUUACCUGAACCCAGCGCCGAUGUCCCUCGCCGCUGGGUCAGGCUCCACCUAUGCUCUUCCCUUGCCGACGUUAGCCAGCAGGGGAGACCUAAUUAGCAUGCACGGCAAUAGCCGCGCAUGCAUUAGAUCUCCCCACAGGAAAGCAUUAUUCAAUGCUUUUCUAUGGGGGAAAAUCUGAGGCUGAAAGUCCUCAUGCAGAGCGUGAGACGUCCAGUGUCAGAUAAUGGACCAAAGGUUCGUUUGGAUUCCUGAAGCGCCCCUAGUGGCUGAACUGCAUGGUGUAUUACAGUAUAUUAUUCACUACCUCACCUCCCAGCUAAGCUCUGCAUUUGGGGACUCACAGAGAGGGGUGACAUAAGAUUGUGACAUGGUACAUCACUAGCUGAUGUCUUCGGCUGCAGAAGACGGUAGGUAGUGACUGCGAGAUGUAAGUUAUUGUAAACUACAACACCGACACCGAUUAUCAAAAAAUAUGCCGAAUAUCAGCAUUAAUGCAUCGGUGCAAAGAUAAUGUCUAUCAUUACUUUUUGCAUGUAUCCCCCCCCCUAUAAAACACGUUUCCAUUGUGAGCAGAGCAGACAAGUAACUUGAGGACAGCACCACAAAUACCACGGCAAGCUGUAGUAGUUAUGGUAUUCAGAGAGUCCUUUAACAACACAUGAAUUUGGCAAAUAUGAAAAUGGCUAAAUUGAAAGCCAUGUCCAACAAAUAAGAUGGCACAGCAAGAGAUCAGCUUUAGCUGCAUUACGUGCUCUUGUUAGUCUUCUCAAAUCCUUUUUAAUAAUUUUUUUUUUUUUUGUUUAUUCCAAGUAUUAAAGAAUUCAGAAUUUCUCAUUGUUAUAGCACUCAAAACCGACAUAUUUCUAGACAGGAAUGUGAAUGUAUGUAAAAAAAGCUGCAUUUAGACAUUGCAUAAAAAAACAACAAAAAAAAAAAUAUAUAAUAAAAUAAGUAACAAUAGAAUGCCCGUGACGCCCAAAACGCUCAGAAUUCCAUCCUCCUCUGGAAUACAUGCCAACGCUCUGCUUUCAGCGACCUACUCAUUUCCCGUCUUCCUUUG